rnacentral:rRNA from 1 species
AUUGAACGCUGGCGGCAUGCCUUACACAUGCAAGUCGAACGGCAGCACGGGAGCAAUCCUGGUGGCGAGUGGCGAACGGGUGAGUAAUGUAUCGUAACGUACCUUUCAGUGGGGGAUAACGUAGCGCAAGUUACGCUAAUACCGCAUAUUCUGUGAGCAGGAAAGCAGGGGAUCGGAUGACCUUGCGCUGAUUGAGCGGCCGAUAGCAGAUUAGCUAGUUGGUGAGGUAAAGGCUCACCAAGGCGACGACUUGUAGCGGGUCUGAGAGGAUGAUCAGCCACACUGGAACUGAGACACGGUCCAGACUCCUACGGGAGGCAGCAGUGGGGAAUUUUGGACAAUGGGGGCAACCCUGAUCCAGCCAGGCCGCGUGAGUGAAGAAGGCCUUCGGGUUGUAAAGCUCUUUCGGCCGGGAAGAAAUCGCAUGGGUUAAUACCCUGUGUGGAUGACGGUACCGGAAUAAGAAGCACCGGCUAACUACGUGCCAGCAGCCGCAGUAA